rnacentral:rRNA from 1 species
AUGGAGAUGGUGGAGAAGCUUUCUCUCACCACAAGACCACAUCCACAUCCUUACUACAUCCAAUGGUUCAACAACAGCGGCAAGGUUAAGGUAACACGUACUGUUCGUGUGCAUUUUAGUAUCUCUACAUAUGCUGAUUAUGUUGAUUGUGAUGUGGUACCUAUGCAAGCAUGUUCCUUAUUACUUGGUAGACCAUGGCAAUUUGAUACAAAUUCUGUACACCAUGGUAGAAACAAUCACUAUACUCUUGUUCAUAAGGAUAAAAAUAUUACUUUGCUUCCUAUGACUCCUGAUUCCAUUUUGAAAGAUGAUAUUAAUAGAGCUAAUAAAGCACAACAGGAGAAGAAUAAGAGUGAAAAUCAGAUUGUGGCAAAAGAAUUUGAGCAACAAAUGAAGCCUAAUAAUAAACCAUCUAGUGUUGCUUCUGAAAUUAAAUUGAAAAGUGCAUGUUUAUUUGCCACCAAAUCUGAUAUUGAUGAGCUAGAUUUCAGCAAAUCUGUUUGCUAUGCUUUUGUGUGCAAAGAGGCAUUAUUUUCAUUCGAGGACGUGCCUUCCUCUUUGCCUCCUGCUGUCACUAACAUUUUGCAGGAGUUCGCUGACGUUUUUCCACAAGACGUUCCACCGGGAUUACCGCCUAUUCGAGGGAUUGAGCAUCAGAUUGACUUAAUUCCCGGUGCUUCACUGCCAAACCGUGCACCAUACCGUACCAAUCCAGAGGAGACGAAGGAGAUUAUGCGUCAAGUACAAGAGCUUCUCGACAAAGGUUAUAUACGCGAAUCCCUUAGUCCUUGUGCUGUUCCUAUUAUUCUAGUGCCGAAAAAGGAUGGUACAUCACGUAUGUGUGUUGAUUGUAGAGGCAUUAAUAAUAUUACUAUUCGUUAUCGUCAUCCUAUUCCUAGGCUAGAUGAUAUGCUUGAUGAAUUGAGUGGCUCUACAAUAUUCUCCAAAGUUGAUUUGCGUAGUGGCUACCAUCAAAUUUGUAUGAAAUUGGGAGAUGAAUGGAAAACAGCAUUUAAAACUAAGUUUGGAUUAUAUGAGUGGUUAGUCAUACCUUUUGGGUUAACUAAUGCACCUAGUACUUUCAUGAGAUUAAUGAACGAAGUUUUACGUGCUUUCAUUGGACGAUUUGUGGUAGUUUACUUUGAUGACAUAUUGAUUUAUAGCAGAUCCUUGGAAGAACAUUUGGAACAUUUACGUGCUGUUUUUAUUGCUCUACGUGAUGCACGUUUGUUUGGUAACCUUGGGAAGUGCACCUUUUGCACCGACCGAGUAUCUUUUCUUGGCCAUGUUGUUACUCCACAGGGAAUUGAAGUUGAUAAAGCCAAGAUUGAAGCUAGUGAGAGUUGGCCGCAGCCCAAAACGGUCACACAAGUGAGGAGUUUUCUUGGCCUCGCUGGAUUCUAUAGGCGUUUUGUGAGAGAUUUCAGCACCAUUGCUGCACCUCUCAAUGAGCUUACAAAGAAAGAUGUGCCUUUUCUUUGGGGUACCGCACAGGAAGAAGCCUUCAUGGUAUUGAAAGAUAAGUUGACACAUGCUCCUUUACUCCAACUUCCUGAUUUUAAUAAGACUUUUGAGCUUGAAUGUGAUGCUAGUGGAAUUGGAUUAGGAGGUGUGUUAUUACAAGAUGGCAAACCUGUUGCAUACUUUUCUGAAAAAUUGAGUGGGCCUAGUCUGAAUUAUUCUACUUAUGAUAAAGAAUUAUAUGCUCUUGUUCGGACUUUAGAAACAUGGCAACAUUAUUUAUGGCCCAAAGAAUUUGUUAUACAUUCUGAUCAUGAAUCAUUGAAACAUAUUAAAAGUCAAGCUAAACUGAAUCGAAGACAUGCUAAAUGGGUUGAAUUCAUUGAGACUUUCCCUUAUGUCAUUAAACACAAGAAGGGAAAAGAAAAUGUUAUUGCUGAUGCUUUGUCUCGUCGCUAUACUAUGCUUUCACAACUUGACUUCAAAAUAUUUGGUUUGGAGACCAUCAAAGAUCAAUAUGUGCAUGAUGCUGAUUUUAAAGAUGUAAUGCAUAAUUGUAAAGAAGGAAGAAUGUGGAACAAGUUUGUUGUUAACGAUGGAUUUGUGUUUCGUGCUAACAAGCUAUGCAUUCCAGCUAGCUCCGUUCGUCUUUUGUUGUUGCAGGAGGCGCAUGGAGGAGGAUUAAUGGGACACUUUGGCUGA